rnacentral:rRNA from 1 species
UACGGAGGGGGCUAGCGUUGUUCGGAAUUACUGGGCGUAAAGCGCACGUAGGCGGCUUUGUAAGUUAGAGGUGAAAGCCCGGGGCUCAACUCCGGAAUUGCCUUUAAGACUGCAUCGCUAGAAUUGUGGAGAGGUAAGUGGAAUUCCGAGUGUAGAGGUGAAAUUCGUAGAUAUUCGGAAGCACACCAGUGGCGAAGGCGACUUACUGGACACAUAUUGACGCUGAGGCGCGAAAGCCAGGGGAGCGAACGGG